UACGUAGGGGGCAAGCGUUGUCCGGAAUCAUUGGGCGUAAAGAGCGCGUAGGCGGCCCUGUAAGUCCGCUGUGAAAGUCAAGGGCUCAACCCUUGAAUGCCGGUGGAUACUGCAGGGCUAGAGUCCGGAAGAGGCGAGUGGAAUUCCUGGUGUAGCGGUGAAAUGCGUAGAUAUCAGGAGGAACACCUGCGGUGUAGACGGCUUACUGGACCAUAACUGACGCUGAGGCACGAAAGCGUGGGUAGCAAACAGG
rnacentral:rRNA from 1 species